rnacentral:lncRNA from 1 species
AAACUUAAUCACUGUAAGUUAUAAUUCUGAAAAUAAUUUGGAGUAUUGUAAACAGUUAACAACUCACAAACUGUGAGAAAAGUGUUUAUAAAAGGAGAAUAACUCACAAUUCAGCAUGCAGGAUUGAGUUAACAAACUUCUUGAUUCUACUUUUCCCGAUAAUUAAGCAUGUACUUUAUUAUUCUGGAUCUUCUGAUGAUUUAAUAGUUUGUUUGAUUGUAAGGGUGUAGUUGGGAGUGUUUUUGGUAGUUUAACAGAAUAGAAUACGUAUUGGUGUAAAACCCAAAUCAAACCUUAACGGUACUUUGAAAGCAGGAACUUGCUGGCUGGAGGGCGCGAGUGGUCAUGGGUGUAGUUGGGAGUGUUUUUGGUAGUUUAACAGAAUAGAAUACGUAUUGGUGUAAAACCCAAAUCAAA